rnacentral:snRNA from 1 species
AUAUAUGCUGCGCACAAAGGCCUAAGCAUAUACAAAUACUAAAACUGGGCGGAUACUUAGAAGGUUAGCAUGGCUCCUGCCUACGGGUGACAUGCAAAUUUGUAGUGUUUCAAAUUUCA